UUCGAUCACAUGGCUCGAAUUGAACGCUGGCAGGAUGCUUUACACAUGCAAGUCGAACGGCGGCACGGACUUCGGUCUGGUGGCGAGUGGCGAACGGGUGAGUAAUGUAUCGGGACGUGCCUAGUAGCGGGGGAUAACUGCAUGAAAGCGUAGCUAAUACAGCGCCACGCCCUUCGGGAAAGCGGGGGGACCUUCGGGCCUCGCACUGACAAACUGACCGAUAUCGGAUUAGCUAGUUGGUGGGGUAACGGCUCACCAAGGCGACGAUCCGUAGCUGGUUUGAGAGGACGACCAGCCACGCUGGGACUGAGACGGCCCAGACUCCUACGGGAGGCAACAGUGGGGAAUUUUGGACAAUGGGGAAACCCUGAUCAGCCAUCCCGCGUGUGCGAUGAAGGCCUUCGGGUUGUAAAGCACUUUUGGCAGGAAAGAAACGGCACGGGAUAUGCCCGUGCAGCCGGCGGUACCUGCAGAAUAAGCACCGGCUAACUACGUGCCAGCAGCACUGACACGUGGUGCAAGCGUUAAUCGAAUUACUGGGCGUAAAGCGUGCGCAGGCGGUUCGGAAAGAAAGAUGUGAAAUCCCAGAGCUUAACUUUGGAACUGCAUUUUUAACUACCGAGCUAGAGUGUGUCGGAGGUGGGAUUUACGCGUGUAAGCAGUGAAAUGCGUAGAUAUGCGGAGGAACACCGUGCUUGAAAGAGCGACCUCCUGGGAUAACACUGACGCUCAUGCACAGCGUGGGAGCCGACAGGUUUAGAUGCCUGGUAGUCCACGCCCUAAACGAUGUCAACUAGCUGUUGGGGCCUUCCGGGCCUUGGUAGCGCAGCUAACGCUGAAGUUGACCGCCUGGGGAAUACGGUCGCAAGAUUAAAACUCAAAGGAAUUGACAGGGACCCGCACAAGCGGUGGAUGAUGUGGAUUAAUUCGAUGCAACGCGAAAACCUUACCUACCCUUGACAUGUCUGGAAUCGAAAGAGAUUUAGGAGUGCUCGCAAGAGAACCGGAACACAGGUGCUGCAUGGCUGUCGUCAGCUCGUGUCGUGAGAUGUUGGGUUAAGUCCCGCAACGAGCGCAACCCUUGUCAUUAGUUGCUGCGAAAGGGCACUCUAAUGAGACUGCCGGUGACAAACCGGAGGAAGGUGGGGAUGACGUCAAGUCCUCAUGGCCCUUAUGGGUAGGGCUUCACACGUCAUGCAAAUGGUCGGGACAGAGGGUCGCCAACCCGCGAGAGGCACCAAUGCAAAGAAACCCGAUCGUAGUCCGGAUCGCAGUCUGCAACUCGACUGCGUGAAGUCAGAAUCGUAGUAAUCGCGGAUCAACGUGGCUCGCGGUGAAUACGUUCCCGGGUCUUGUAUGCCACCGCCCGUCACACCAUGGAAUUAGGUUUUCAAGUAGUUAGCUGGCGUAGGCGAUUACCACGGUAGGAUUCAUGACUGGGGUGAAGUCGUAACAAGGU
rnacentral:rRNA from 1 species